rnacentral:rRNA from 1 species
AGCCCUACGGGGGGCAGCAGUAGGGAAUAUUGCUCAAUGGGGGAAACCCUGAAGCAGCAACGCCGCGUGGAGGAUGAAGGUUUUCGGAUUGUAAACUCCUUUUGUUAGAGAAGAUAAUGACGGUAUCUAACGAAUAAGCACCGGCUAACUCCGUGCCAGCAGCCGCGGUAAUACGGAGGGUGCAAGCGUUACUCGGAAUCACUGGGCGUAAAGAGCGCGUAGGCGGGAUAGCAAGUCAGCGGUCAAAUACGGGGGCUCAACCUGCGUCCGCCGUUGAAACUGGCGUUCUUGAGUGGGCGAGAAGU